UAACGCGAAGAACCUUACCAGCUCUUGACAUGGCAGGACGGUUUCCGGAGACGGAUCCCUUCACUUCGGUGACCUGCACACAGGUGCUGCAUGGCUGUCGUCAGCUCGUGUCGUGAGAUGUUGGGUUAAGUCCCGCAACGAGCGCAACCCUCGCCUCUAGUUGCCAGCAUUCAGUUGGGCACUCUAGAGGGACUGCCGGUGAUAAGCCGGAGGAAGGUGGGGAUGACGUCAAGUCUUCAUGGCCCUUACGGGCUGGGCUACACACGUGCUACAAUGGCGGUGACAGAGGGCUGCUAGGCCGCGAGGCCAUGCUAAUCCCUAAAAGCCGUCUCAGUUCGGAUUGCACUCUGCAACUCGGGUGCAUGAAGUCGGAAUCGCUAGUAAUCGCAGAUCAGCACGCUGCGGUGAAUACGUUCCCGGGUCUGUACACACCG
rnacentral:rRNA from 1 species